UCGUCGUGGCACCACAGGUCAGGUCAGGUCAUCGUGACACCACAGGUCAGGUCAGGUCAUCGUGACACCACAAGUCUGUUCAGGUCAUCGUGGCACCACAGGUCAGGUCAGGUCAUCGUGGCACCACAGGUCAGGUCAGGUCAUCGUGGCACCACAGGUCAGGUCGUCGUGGCACCACAGGUCAGGUCGUCGUGGCACCACAGGUCAGGUCAUCGUGGCACCACAGGUCAGGUCAUCGUGGCACCACAGGUCAGGUCGUCGUGGCACCACAGGUCAGGUCAGGUCAUCGUGGCACCACAGGUCAGGUCAGGUCAUCGUGGCACCACAGGUCAGGUCGUCGUGGCACCACAGGUCAGGUCACCGUGGCACCACAGGUCAGGUCACCGUGGCACCACAGGUCAGGUCGUCGUGGCACCACAGGUCAGGCCGUCGUGGCACCACAGGUCAGGUCACCGUGGCACCACAGGUCAGGUCACCGUGGCACCACAGGUCAGGUCACCGUGGCACCACAGGUCAGGUCACCGUGGCACCACAGGUCAGGUCACCGUGGCACCA
rnacentral:lncRNA from 1 species